rnacentral:rRNA from 1 species
UACGGGGGGGGCAAGCGUUGUUCGGAAUUACUGGGCGUAAAGGGCUCGUAGGUGGCCAACUAAGUCAGACGUGAAAUCCCCAGGCUUAACCUGGGAACUGCGUCUGAUACUGGAUGGCUUGAAUUCGGGAGAGGGAUGCAGAAUUCCAGGUGUAGCGGUGAAAUGCGUAGAUAUCAAGAGGAACACCUGAGGUGAAGACGGGUUGCUAGGCUGACACUGACGCUGAGGCGCGAAAGCCAGGGGAGCAAACGGG